rnacentral:rRNA from 1 species
UUUUGACCGUGCAAAGGUAGCGCAAUCACUUGUCUUUUAAAUAGAGACCUGUAUGAAUGGCUAAACGAGGGCUUAACUGUCUCCCCUUUCAAGUCAGUGAAAUUGAUUUACCCGUGCAGAAGCGGGUAUAAUAAUACAAGACGAGAAGACCCUUUGGAGCUUAAGGUACAAAAAUCAACCACGUCAAGCAACUAAAUGAAAAGCAAGAACUUUAUGGAGUAUGAUACUUUACCUUCGGUUGGGGCGACCACGGAGGAAAGAAAAUCCUCCGAGUGGACCGGGACAAACCUCCUAGAACCAAGAGAAACACCUCUAAGCCACAGAACAUCUGACCAAACAUGAUCCGGCCAAAAACCGAUCAACGAACCAAGUUACCCUAGGGAUAACAGCGCAAUCCUCUCCCAGAGUCCAUAUCGACGAGAGG